CCUACGGGUGGCAGCAGUGAGGAAUAUUGGUCAAUGGGCGCGAGCCUGAACCAGCCAAGUCGCGUGAGGGAAGAAAGUCCUAUGGAUUGUAAACCUCUUUUGUCGGGGAGCAAAAGCUGCCACGCGUGGCGUUACGAGAGUACCCGAAGAAAAAGCAUCGGCUAACUCCGUGCCAGCAGCCGCGGUAAUACGGAGGAUGCGAGCGUUAUCCGGAUUUAUUGGGUUUAAAGGGUGCGCAGGCGGUAGAUUAAGUCAGCGGUAAAAUUGAGAGGCUCAACCUCUUCGAGCCGUUGAAACUGGUUUUCUUGAGUUGGUGAGAAGUAUGCGGAAUGCGUGGUGUAGCGGUGAAAUGCAUAGAUAUCGCGCAGAACUCCGAUUGCGAAGGCAGCAUGCCGGCGCUCAACUGACGCUCAUGCACGAAAGUGUGGGUAUCGAACAGGAUUAGAUACCCCUGUAGUC
rnacentral:rRNA from 1 species